CCUGGUGGCUCAGAUGGUAAAGCAUCUGCCUACAAUGCAGGAGACCCAGGUUCAAUCCUUGGGUCAGGA
rnacentral:tRNA from 1 species